rnacentral:lncRNA from 1 species
UCACUUCUAUAUUUUAUAUUGUAGUUUUAUUUCCAAUGUUGUACAUAUGUAUGAGAUUAGAUAUUUUUCAUAUAACUGGUGAGAAAAGAGACAAUUGUCAUAAUAGGAAUUUUCUCGAUGGAUUCAACUUUCAUUUUUUCUCUAUCUACGUUCAAAGAAUUUUCUUGCAUAUUUCUCGAGCGAUCUUCAUAUUCACAAAUCUAACAUGGUAUCAGAUUCCGGCAAACGAUUCCUCUUCUUCUAAGCUUUCUUCCGAUGGUACACUUGCUCGUGGUUUCAAAGAUUUUGAGUUUCGGAGAUUUCGGAUUUAACGUGUUGGUUCAGAGAUUUCGAGCUUCUCUGGUCAUCUACUCAUAAAGGUUUUCAACUGUUUGUUCAAUUGUAUGAAGUCCUUUGCUUCUUCAGGAUAUAUGAGAAGUUUGAUAAAUUUAUUCCCUUCUCUCAUAUCGUUGCUCAAGUUGUGAUUUAUCAACUUUGGUUGAUAAAUUGAUAAGAAUAGUUUCGAGGAUCUCGUUGUAGUUGUCAUUUAUAGCUCUUCGAUUUACUAUUGAUUUGAGCUAUAUUAUAGUUUUAUUGUGUUUUGAGCCGCAUUCUGACAUUAUUGUGGUGAUUUGAGCUAUAUUGCAAUAGUAUUUUAACUGUGUAUACCCUUGCUGGUAGUGUAUUUCACACAUAGUGUAAGUCGUAGAAGAUGAGUUCAGAAACGACUUAAGGUUUUAUGUCUUUUACACUCGAAACCUCUCAUCCCUUCUAUGUUCACCCUUUAGAUACUCCUGGUAGCCAAAUAAUGGUUGUUCCCUUCUUUUGUUCUGGUUUCACUAUCUAGAGAAGUAGCAUGAUGACUUCUCUCUCAGCUAAAAACAAGCUGAGUAUUCUAGAUGGCUGAACACCUGCUCUACCUAGUGAAUUACAAGAUUUUCCCUAUUGGCAAAGGUGUAAUGACAUGGUAAAAUCAUGGAUACUUAAUUCUAUAUCAAGAGAUAUAGCAAUAAGUUUCAUAUCUCUCAGAGUUGCAAAAGAAAUAUGGGAGGAUCUGAAUGUCAGGUUUGGACAAUCAAAUAGUUCAAGAUACAUUCAGAUCCAAAAUAAAAUUCACUCCACCACUCAAGGGUCUUCUAACGUUGCCUCUUAUUACAUUAGGUUUACGAGUCUUUGGGAUGAACUCAAUUUUUCUUAUGUUGGUCCUAACUGUACUUGUGGAGCCUUGUCUAAAUUCAUAGAGGAUCAACAACUUUUUUAGUUUCUAAAUGGGUUGAAUGAUUUUUUCUCCACACUCAAGAGUAGUAUUUUGAUGAUGUCUUAUCUUCCUUCUGUCAACAAGGUUUAUUCUUGUUAUUACAAGAUGAAUGUCAGAAAGAGAAUCACUCUUCUACUGCUACAUUUUCUGGAGACUCAGCUGCCUGCCUAACCUCAUCAUCCCCUAAUUCUAAUAAAACCUAUUACCAAUCAAACUUCUCCAGUAAGAGUAAUAUAAGUGCAUAUCCCCAGAACAAUAGAGGAUAUUAUCAAAGGAUCAAUUUUGAUUUCAAGAAGCCUUAGUUUCCAUCACCAGCUAAUACUACUUCAUUAUUUUGCAUCUAUUAUAAGAAACCUGGACAUGCAGUGGAAAAAUGCUAUAGGCUCAUUAGUUUUCCCACAGAUUUCAAGUUCACAAAGAACAAGAAAACUGUUUCAUGUGUCCAAACUGAUGGUAACUUGUCUGUUUCUCCAUCCUGCCCAGUCUUUCCAAUAUUACUACUGAUGGGUAUUCAAAUGGGAGCAAUAUCAAAAUCUACAAACUCUCUUUCACUAGCAAUGUCCAGUAGUUUCCUUCUGUAACAAUGCAUUUCUAAAUUUAGAAGAGUUUUCUUCGAAUUCCACUGGUUUUGCACAUUUAACAGGUCUGUUCACUGUUUAUGCUGCUAGUUCCUUGAACCCUCAUGAAUCUGAAUCAGGUUCAAUAGGUUUACAUCCAUGGAUCUUAGACUCUGGAGCCACAAAUCACAUGACACCUCACAAAUAUCUUCUACACAAUAUUUCCCUUCUUACUAUACCUUUCCUAGUCACUCUUCCAGAUGGGUACAAAGUAAAAGUUUUUCCCGUUGGUUCCUUGACUUUAAGAUCUAAUAUCAUACUUUCUUAUGUCCUUCUAGUCCCUUCUUUUUAAUUCAACUUAAUUUCUAUUCACCAGCUUAUAUCUCAAUUUAAUUGUAACGCUUUACUUACCAAGUCUCAUUGCUAUUUACAGGGUCCUUCACUGAAGAGGUUGUGGUAGUUGGCAAGGUUGCAGGCAGGCUCUAUUAUCUACAUUCGGAUGAUGAAAUUUUCUCUUCCACUUCUACAAACACAUCACUUACUAUUAUUCCAUAGUCAUCAAAUUCCACUACUACUACUUCUUACUUACAUUCUCCUUCUAGUACUGAUAUUCCUUGUGAUAUUUCUUGUAAUGUUCUUCCUUUUUGUAAUUUUAGUUUUGACAUAAAUAAAAUAGAUUUAUUUUGGCAUCAAA